GACAGAGGGUGCAAACGUUGUUCGGAAUUACUGGGCGUAAAGCGCGUGUAGGCUGCUCUGCAAGUCGGGUGUGAAAGCCCCGGGCUCAACCUGGGAAGUGCACUCGAAACUGCAGAGCUCGAGUCCUGGAGAGGAAGGCGGAAUUCUCGGUGUAGAGGUGAAAUUCGUAGAUAUCAGGAGGAACACCGAUGGCGAAGGCAGGUCUCUGGGCUGACACUGACGCUCAUGCACGAAAGCGUGGGGAGCAAACAGG
rnacentral:rRNA from 1 species